GAAAGCCUUCGGGCGCGAUUAGAUGGGCCUGAGCCCCAUUAGCUUGUUGGUGAGGUAAGAGCUCACCAAGGCUACGAUGGGUAGCUGGUUUGAGAGGAUGAUCAGCCACACUGGUACUGGAAUACGGACCAGACUCCUACGGGAGGCAGCAGUUAGGAAUAUUGCGCAAUGGGGGAAACCCUGACGCAGCAACGCCGCGUGAGUGAUGAAGGUUUUCGGAUCGUAAAGCUCUUUCAGUAAGGAAGAAAAAAAUGACGGUACUUACAGAAGAAGCACCGACUAACUCCGUGCCAGCAGCCGCGGUAAUACGGAGGGUGCGAGCGUUAUUCGGAUUUAUUGGGCGUAAAGCGCGCGUAGGCGGUUUGGAAAGUCUGCUGUGAAAGCCCACGACUCAAUCGUGGAACUGCAGUGGAUACUACCAGACUGGAGUAUUGGAGAGGAGAACGGAAUUCCUGGUGUAGAGGUGACAUUCGUAGAUAUCAGGAGGAACAACGAAGGCGAAGGCAGUUCUCUGGACAAUUACUGACGCUGAGGUGCGAAAGCGUGGGGAGCAAACGGGAUUAGAUACCCCGGUAGUCCACGGCCGUAAACGAUGGAUACUAGACGUCGGAAAGACCUACCCGGUCGGUGUCGUAACGCACGCGGUAACUAGCCUGCCUGGGGAGUACGCAAGCAAGGCUCUCACUCAAAGAACUGGGCGCGGGCACACACAAGCGAUAGAGUAUGUGAUUUAAAUUCGACGCAACGCGCAGAACCGGACCUGGAUAUGACAGCCCGCGCUAUCCUGUGAAAGCAUGAGUUCGCUUCGGGACGCGAUGACAGGUAUGGCAUGGCUCUCGUCAGCUCGUGACAUGAGAUGUUGGGUCCAGUCCCGCGACGAGCGCAACCCAUGACAUGACGAGCACAGCAGAUAGGAUGUGCACUGGAGUGGGUCCGCUAUCACGAUAAGGCAGAGGAAGGUAGGAAUGACAGCAAGUCCGCACGGCACUUACACCGAGGGCUACACACGUACUACAAUGCCCAGUACAAAGCGCAGUUAGACCGCGAGGUUACGCUAAUCGCAUAAAGCUGGUCUCAGUUCGGAUUGGAGUCUGCAACUCGACUCUAUGA
rnacentral:rRNA from 1 species